rnacentral:lncRNA from 1 species
GGUCGUUGUUAGUUUUAGCACUUUUAGCCAAGUUAUCAGUCCGAAAUUUAAUUCCGCUGGAGGUCUCUGUAUGUAGCGUGUUCGAGCGUUACUUCACCAGUUUACAGGAAAAUCAAUGUUUCUAUUACUAUGAGCGGAACUUCACCCUUUAUCGAACAACUCGAGAUAACCACGACAUAUGGAAAGCCUAUGUAGAAAUUUGCUGAGUCACACAUCAGGCGUGGAAGAAACCGACCGAUCGACUAGGACUCAAUCGUCAUGUCUUCGACAGCAACGUACCAGUAUGAUGCCAUCAUACCUCUUUCGUGAAGGCGAAGCCACUACCAAAGACGAAUAGUCAAGACCGUGUUGGGCAGGCUACCAUUAAAAUCUUUAUUAUAAUUCGAAAUUGUGCUUCGCUUAAAAGUGGAACAUUUGAGCAGCUUAACAGGAGUGUUAAUAUCCUAUUAUUCGCAAUUACUAAAUAAAGCUUAGUUAUCGACAACGAAAGAAAAUCACCUGCGGGCUGUUUCGACUCUGCAAAAAUCAUCUUCAGAUGAAUCGUAUGUAUCCUAGUCAAGUCCGUAAACAAAAUACGUGUAUAUCCACAUUUUUCUGACGGAUAUACCUAUUUGGUACUUUGCUUUUUUUAGAUUGGCCAUUAUUUUGUUGUAAUCUUGUUCGGUUACGUCGGAGAGCACGUGACGAAAAUGGCAAUGUCCAUAUUAUACAAUACCAAUAGAUACUACUCCGUGCUUUACAUCAAUGUCGCUCUCACUGGAAAAACGAUUUGAAUAUUCAAGGCGUGUAAUUAUUCUCGACUAUAUUGUCUACCAGAUUACUGUAGAAAAAUCGAAUCAUCGAAGUUGAUGAUCGGAAACGUGCAAUAGUAACAACCGGACCACUAAAAAAAAGUGCUAAAAAACAUUUUCGGUGAUUGAUUUUGAUGUUUUUUUGGAAAUAAAUAAAGUUAGAAAGGUCAUGACCCUUAAAAACGCAGAUUGCAAUAAGCUAGUCGUUUACCUUGUCAUGUCAAAUGUCGAAGAUCGCUAAAUAUUGCCAAUUAGUUACUCAAGGAACGUUUUUUUUUUACCAAUCAAUGGUUUUGUUCAACAAGGAUAAUAAAGCGUUUCUGACAAAAAGCUUUUUUUAUUCAUAGCAUUCAAGUGAUUAUCGUUUGAAGUAAUAUUUCUUCAAUCGCCAAACCGCUGGUUCACACUAGAUAUCUAACUAAAACGUAAAAUCAGCGAUGUACAUAAAAGGGGUCCUUAUUUUAAAAAGUUUUAAUUUUUUUCGUCGCAUUCUUUUUAGCAAAAAUUUCUUCGUUUGCUGGAUCAUCAUGAAGAGCAGUUUUAUUUUGAAUUAGCUGGUCAUACAUCUCCUUCUGAGCUUCGCGCUUGAGUCAGUUGCUCGCUCUACAUUUUUAAACGAGUUAUUAUUAUAAUGAGAGAACAUCAGAGGAUGCCAGGAGUGCUUGUAACCAUAAUAGACAAAGCUAGACUUAUCCAACUGUGUCUGACCAUCUUGACGCACCUGACGAAAUGCGUCAAGAAACAUUCGUAGUGCUUACGUCUUUUGUAUUUUGUUUUUUUCUUGAUUUUUUUUUGAUUGCUAAAGUUGCAUUUAUGUGGUCAGUUAAGUGGUGGAUGUCGAAUUUGUCCUAUUAACGGUUAUAUACGGUUGCUUGCCGUAGACAGACAAUUUGGCCUUUUCUUCUUAAAUCUUGUUGAAGGCGGCGAU